rnacentral:rRNA from 1 species
UCAUAUGCUUGUCUCAAAGAUUAAGCCAUGCAUGUCCAAGUACAAGCCUCACUAAGGUGAAACCGCGAAUGGCUCAUUAAAUCACACCUAAUCUACUGGAUAGUUAACAGUUACUUGGAUAACUGCGGUAAUUCUGGAGCUAAUACAUGCAAAAAGCCUCGAACUUACGUGAGAGGCGCUUUUAUUAGAUCAAAACCAAACGGCUUCGGCUGUACUCUUGGUGACUCUGAAUAACUUUGGGCUGAUCGCAUAGCCUUGCGCUGGCGACAUAUCCUUCGAAGGUGUGCCCUAUCAACUGUCGACUGUGGCAUAGACGCCCACAGUGGUUUUGACGGGUAACGGGGAAUCAGGGUUCGAUUCCGGAGAGGGAGCCUUAAAAACGGCUACCACAUCUAAGGAAGGCAGCAGGCACGCAAAUUACCCAAUGACCGAAGGUCGAGGUAGUGACGAAAAAUAACGAUCCAGGACUCAUCCGAGGCCCUGGAAUCGGAAUGAGUACACUUUAAAACCGUCCCCGAGGAUCUAUUGGAGGGCAAGUCUGGUGCCAGCAGCCGCGGUAAUUCCAGCUCCAAUAGCGUAUAUUAAAGUUGUUGUGGUUAAAAAGCUCGUAGUUGGAUCUCGGCAGUCUGAGGGCGGUUUGCUUGCUAGUAUUACUGCCCUAUAGACC